UCGGGAAUUUUGGGCAAUGGGCGAAAGCCUGACCCAGCAACGCCGCGUGAGGGAUGAAGUAUUUCGGUAUGUAAACCUCGAAAGAAUGGGAAGAAUAAAUGACGGUACCAUUUAUAAGCUCCGGCUAACUACGUGCCAGCAGCCGCGGUAAUACGUAGGGAGCAAGCGUUGUUCGGAUUUACUGGGCGUAAAGGGCGCGUAGGCGGCGCGGUAAGUCACUUGUGAAAUCUCUGAGCUUAACUCAGAACGGCCAAGUGAUACUGCUGUGCUAGAGUGCGGUAGAGGCAACCGGAAUUCUUGGUGUAGCGGUGAAAUGCGUAGAUAUCAAGAGGAACACCUGAGGCGAAGGCGGGUUGCUGGGCCGACACUGACGCUGAUGCGCGAAAGCCAGGGGAGCAAACG
rnacentral:rRNA from 1 species